GGCAGAUGGACUGUAUCCCCCUAAAGCAAGCUGUGCCUGGGUCACACAGAGCACAGGCCUCUGGGCAGUGCUGGGAAAAAAAGAGGAAACCAUCAGAUGUCAGUGACUACAAAACCAAGUGCUAAACUGGAUUUGAAACAACAAGGUAAUCCCUACAAGUUUGGUGCUAGAGGCGACACAUCUUCCACUAGUGUGAAGGAGGUCAAGUGUUUUAUAUCACCCAGGAUUGCCUGAAGAGUCACCGUGGACUUCCAAUACGAGGACCUUGUUGACGUACACCCAGAUUUCAUCCCCGCCACCAACCGUUAU